AGGUGUUUAGAGGGGCGUGGCUAUCUUCCCCCGGCUCCUGCUGUCAGACAUCCACACACCAGUCUCACCAGCCUUGCUCUGCACCCAGUAUUACCACCAGCCACUGCCAGCUCUGCAUUUCCUGCUUGGACUGAUUACCAUCCCCAUAUUUCCCCAUUGUUCUUUCUGGACACUUGCACUUUUUGUUUGUAAUAAACUCUUUUUGAACUUUGAA